GAUGAACGCUGGCGGCGUGCCUAAUACAUGCAAGUCGAGCGAACAGACGAGGAGCUUGCUCCUCUGACGUUAGCGGCGGACGGGUGAGUAACACGUGGAUAACCUACCUAUAAGACUGGGAUAACUUCGGGAAACCGGAGCUAAUAACGGAUAAUAUAUUGAACCGCAUGGUUCAAUAGUGAAAGACGGUUUUGCUGUCACUUAUAGAUGGAUCCGAGCCGCAUUAGCUAGUUGGUAAGGUAACGGCUUACCAAGGCGACGAUGCGUAGCCGACCUGAGAGGGUGAUUGCACAGCCUGGAUCUGAGGCGCGGUCCAGACUCCUGCGGGGAGCAGCAGUAGGGACUCUUCCGCAAUGGGCCAGUGCCUGACGGUGCACAGCCGCGUGAGUGCUGAAGGUCUUCUGAUCGUUAAACUAUGUUAUUAGGGGAGAUCUAAUGUGUAAGUAACUAUGCACGUCUUGACGGUACCUAAUCAGAAAGCCACGGCUAACUACGUG
rnacentral:rRNA from 1 species